rnacentral:misc_RNA from 1 species
AAACCCUCACCCUUGCGAUGUUAAAAAGUCGCCUGUGGUGGAUUUGGACCGUGCCGUAAUUGGCUCGUCCCGAAAUGCAUUAGCUGGUGCUCGUUAGAGUGCUCGGCACGGUGUGAUAAUUAUCUGCGCCGUUUGCCUUAGGCCUCUUCUGUUGUGCGCCGCUUCUAAUCGUCCCCAGUGGACAACUUUACAAACCAAAGCU